UACAGAGGUGGCAAGCGUUGUUCGGAAUUACUGGGCGUAAAGCGCGUGUAGGCGGCUCUUCAAGUCAGGCGUGAAAGCCCCGGGCUCAACUCGGGAACUGCGCUUGAUACUGUCGAGCUAGAGUGUGGAAGGGGCGAUUGGAAUUCCCGGUGUAGCGGUGAAAUGCGCAGAUAUCGGGAGGAACACCAAUGGCGAAGGCAGCUCGCUGGGACGGUACUGACGCUGAGACGCGAAAGCGUGGGGAGCAAACAGG
rnacentral:rRNA from 1 species